GGCUGCUGCUUGGUCUUGUGUGGGACAUAUGGCAACGGGUGAAGUCGCUUUUUUCCUGGAAAUAGAAAUUACUGUCUGCAGUGGAACUGAACCAUUAAUGCGUCUUCCAUCAGAAGCUGCAACUCUCUAUCAACCUGCUGCUUCACCUCAUUAUUAAUGUACAUAUUAUGAAGAUAAUUUAAUCAUACUAGAAAACAACAAUGUAAAAAUAAAAAUAA